rnacentral:sRNA from 1 species
ACCGUUCUUUGGUCAAGGGUAUACGAGUAGCUGCGCUCCCCUGCUAGAACCUCCAAACAAGCUCUCAAGGUCCUGACUCAUUUUAAAGU